rnacentral:lncRNA from 1 species
CAAAAGAUACUCCAGAAUCUGGUUUGGAAUAGAUGCCGAACUCUUUUUUUCCUUUUCCUAAGACACUCACUAGAUUGAAGGAGGAGCGGGAAUCUGAAGACUCCAAAUGACAUCAGAGUUACUUUUCAGCAGCCUUCUCAGUUUCCUUUCUCAGAAAGCAGAGACUCCAACCUUGGAGAUGGACGGGCCUCAGAUGGCAGCCCUGGCCUUGAUCUUGCACGCCCUCAGGCUGCGGUGCAAACAGUUCAUUGACUACAAUCCACAGAGUCUUUCAGAGUGAAUUCCCAACAGGAAGAAUCUGAUAGCUCAGGCCACGUGAAUCAUUGCAAUAUGAGCCUCCAAGACCAC